GCCCGAAUGGCUCAAUGGUAGAGCGUGUCACUCGUAAUGACAAGGUUCUCGGUUCGAUUCCGAGUUCGGGCA